rnacentral:rRNA from 1 species
GUAGGUGGCAAGCGUUGUCCGGAAUUAUUGGGCGUAAAGCGCGCGCAGGCGGUUCUUUAAGUCUGAUGUGAAAGCCCACGGGCUCAACCGUGGAGGGUCAUUGGAAACUGGAGAACUUGAGUACAGAAGAGGAAAGCGGAAUUCCACGUGUAGCGGUGAAAUGCGUAGAGAUGUGGAGGAACACCAGUGGCGAAGGCGGCUUUCUGGUCUGUAACUGACGCUGAGGCGCGAAAGCGUGGGGAGCAAACAGGAUUAGAUACCCUGGUAGUCCACGCCGUAAACGAUGAGUGCUAAGUGUUAGGGGGUUUCCGCCCCUUAGUGCUGCAGUUAACGCAUUAAGCACUCCGCCUGGGGAGUACGGCCGCAAAGGCUG